AAAAAAAAGAAGGGGACGGGCAGAGUCCGGGUGGCUUUCGGGUGCCCCCCCGUCGCUGCUGAAUCACGGGCUGGCACGGGGCGACCAUGGCUGCGGACGGGCUCUCCAGCAAGGCGCUGAAGGUGAAGCGGGAGCUGGGUGAGAACACGCCGCUGCUGUCGGAUGAGGAGCUGAUGGGGCUGUCGGUGCGGGAGCUCAACCACCACCUGCGGGGCCUCUCCAAGGAGGAGGUGGCGCGGCUGAAGCAGCGCCGGCGGACGCUGAAGAACCGGGGCUACGCCGCCAGCUGCCGGGUGAAGCGCGUCUGCCAGAAGGAAGAGCUGCAGAAGCAGAAGAUGGAGCUGGAGUGGGAGGUGGACAAGCUGGCCCGGGAGAACGCCGCCAUGCGCCUGGAGCUCGACACCCUCCGCGGCAAGUACGAGGCCCUGCAGGGCUUCGCCCGCACCGUGGCCGCCCACGGGCCCCCCGCCAAGGUGGCCACCGCCAGCGUCAUCACCAUCGUCAAGUCCGGCACCAACCAGGCCGCCUACUCCUAGUGCCGGCCCCCCGUCCCCCCCCGGCCGGGCACGGACCCCCCGGGGCGCCUUCCCCCACGGAUCGACUUGAGGGUUGCCUCCCCAAGCCCUCCCUGACCUCUCCUCCGCUGGGACGUGUCCCCAAAAUCCUCCCCCUCUGGUCCCCAGACCUCCUCUUGCCGGGCCAGCCCUCCUGUGUAGGGGGAGCUGCCACCACGUGUGUGCUGGGGUGGACAGGACCCCAUGGGGGACCCCCGCGGAGGCAGCGGUGGCUCCCAAAACCUGGCACUACCCCAUAGUGCCGUCCCCUGCUGCAGCCCCCCCCGGCCGGGCACCCCUCUCCCUGGUGGGUGCAUGCAGGAGGGGAUGAGCCCACGCGGCCAGAGGCAGGGAAACGUCCCAUGGCUCCAAGCUGGCAGGAAAAUGAUGUGCCCCUUUUUUUUUGGGGGACGAUGCGGGAGAGCUGAGCGCAGGGCAGGCGCUCCCAGGAGCACGUACCAGGGAGGGAAAUGGGGGGAGAGAGAGAGUUUGGCGGCGAUGGGCAGACGGAAAAAGAUGGAGGGGGUUGGUAUCGGCCCCACGAGACGGGACGGAGAUGGCGAGGGAAGGUGGCAGGUCAGAGGGGGAGAGAAAGUGGCUGCAGGUUGGCGCCUGGGUAUGGGUGGGCAGGUGGGGAAGCGCUGGGGGAGCCCGGAGGUGAUGGCAGUGGAGGGGAGGGGUCCUUGGGGCAGGGGACGUGAGGGGCUCAGCCCAGGCUGUUGCCCGCAAAGGGGAGAAGCAGAGGUGCUGUUUUCUCUGUCCCCAUCACGCACAUCCUUCACGCCUCUUCCUGCCCGCGGGACGCUCGGCCCGGCCGGGCGUCUCUGA
rnacentral:lncRNA from 1 species